rnacentral:lncRNA from 13 species
GUUUUAUAAAUGGGAGCUUCUCUGCACAAGCUCUCUCCUCUUGUUUGCUGCCAUGUGAGACAUGCCUUUCACCUUCGGCCGUGACUGUGAGGCCAUCCCAGCCACAUGGAACUGUGGAUCCACUCUGGAGCAUGCUCUACAGAGUCUUUUAUGGACCCAAGUGGAAGAAAAGAAGAACAACCCAGUUAUUCACAAAGAUAACUUGACUUUAGGCUCUACCAGGAACUACACCACUAGUUCUCAUGGUUUGGGGUUCUUCAGACUUGGAUUGGAAAUAUACCACCAGCUCUCCUUGGUCUCCAACUUGCCAAAUGAAGACCAUGGGACUUCUCAGCCUCAUCAUCAUCUGAGGAGCAGAGCUGCCUCAGGCAUGCUGUGCAGGGCGUUGAAGGUGAAAGCUGAGAGGAAGACGAGCUGCUUGCUGUGAAGAGAACUGCAGAGCAUGAAUCAACUUAUCAAGUUCUAUCAGUUCCUGCAUGGGGGAACUGAUGGGUAUGAGAACAUCUUUUUAGGGCUUUCUCUGUGACCAGUAUGGGAAUAGUGGGCAUGCAAUAUUAGUAGGGAUGACAGCAAGCACCGUGGAAGGUACUGGGUGCCUUGGGGUCAGAAUGAAGGCCUGAGCCUUCCACCCUCCAGUGUUGGCACUGCCUCUGUUUAUGUUACCAGGACAGAGCCCUUUGCUAUUUUAGUCACUGUACAUCUGACUCUCAAUUUCCCCCUCUGUGAAAUGAGAUUAAAUAUUCUUAUAUGACAGCAGAAGUCCCCAACCUUUUUGGCAUCAAGGACCAGUUUUGUGGAAAAUAAUUUUUCCAUAGACCAGUUGUGGGAAGGCAGUUUUGGGAUGAAAUUGUUCCACCUCAGGUCAUCAGGCAUUAAACUCUUAUAAGUAGCAUGCAGCAUAGAUCCCUCCCAUGCAUAGUUCACAAUAGGAUUUGGGUUCCUAUGAGAACCUAAUGCUGCCACUGAUCUGACAGGAGGCAGAGCUAAGGCCAUAAUCUCUCCUCAGUCACCUGCUCACCACCUGCUGUGCAGCCCAGUUUCCUAGAGGCCAUAGACUAGCACUAGUUCAUGGCUUAGGGAUUUGGAACCCCUGUAUAAUAGAAGAAUAAAAAAAAAGAAAAGAAAAAAAUGUUGGUGACU